UUGCCCCAGUAACGGCGAGUGAAGCGGCAACAGCUCAAAUUUGAAAUCUGGCUCUCGGGCCCGAGUUGUAAUUUGUAGAGGAUGCUUUUGGUGAGGUGCCUUCCGAGUUCCCUGGAACGGGACGCCAUAGAGGGUGAGAGCCCCGUCUGGUUGGACACCGAUCCUCUGUAAAGCUCCUUCGACGAGUCGAGUAGUUUGGGAAUGCUGCUCUAAAUGGGAGGUAUAUGUCUUCUAAAGCUAAAUACCGGCCAGAGACCGAUAGCGCACAAGUAGAGUGAUCGAAAGAUGAAAAGAACUUUGAAAAGAGAGUUAAAAAGUACGUGAAAUUGUUGAAAGGGAAGCGCUUGUGACCAGACUUGGGCUUGGUUGAUCAUCCGGGGUUCUCCCCGGUGCACUCUUCCGGCUCAGGCCAGCAUCAGUUCGCCCUGGGGGAUAAAGGCUUCGGGAAUGUGGCUCUCUCCGGGGAGUGUUAUAGCCCGCUGCGUAAUACCCUGUGGCGGACUGAGGUUCGCGCAUUCGCAAGGAUGCUGGCGUAAUGGUCAUCAGUGACCCGUCUUGAAACACGGACCAAGGAGUCGUCUUCGUAUGCGAGUGUUCGGGUGUCAAACCCCUACGCGAAAUGAAAGUGAACGCAGGUGAGAGCUUCGGCGCAUCAUCGACCGAUCCUGAUGUUAUCGGAUGGAUUUGAGUAAGAGCAUACGGGGCCGGACCCGAAAGAAGGUGAACUAUGCCUGUGUAGGGUGAAGCCAGAGGAAACUCUGGUGGAGGCUCGCAGCGGUUCUGACGUGCAAAUCGAUCGUCAAACAUGGG
rnacentral:rRNA from 1 species